rnacentral:rRNA from 1 species
AUGAACGCUGGCGGCGUGCCUAAUACAUGCAAGUCGAGCGAACGGACGAGAAGCUUGCUUUUCUGAUGUUAGCGGCGGACGGGUGAGUAACACGUGGAUAACCUACCUAUAAGACUGGGAUAACUUCGGGAAACCGGAGCUAAUACCGGAUAAUAUUUUGAACCGCAUGGUUCAAAAGUGAAAGACGGUCUUGCUGUCACUUAUAGAUGGAUCCGCGCUGCAUUAGCUAGUUGGUAAGGUAACGGCUUGCCAAGGCAACGAUGCAUAGCCGACCUGAGAGGGUGAUCGGCCACACUGGAACUGAGACACGGUCCAGUCUCCUACGGGAGGCAGCAGUAGGGAAUCUUCCGCAAUGGGCGAAAGCCUGACGGAGCAACGCCGCGUGAGUGAUGAAGGUCUUCGGAUCGUAAAACUCUGUUAUUAGGGAAGAACAUAUGUGUAAGUAACUGUGCACAUCUUGACGGUACCUAAUCAGAAAGCCACGGCUAACUACGUG